rnacentral:rRNA from 1 species
UUCCAGACUCCUACGGGAGGCAGCAGUGGGGAAUAUUGCACAAUGGGCGCAAGCCUGAUGCAGCGACGCCGCGUGGGGGAUGGCGGCCUUCGGGUUGUAAACUCCUUUCGCUAGGGACGAAGCUUUUUGUGACGGUACCUAGAUAAGAAGCACCGGCUAACUACGUGCCAGCAGCCGCGGUAAUACGUAGGGUGCGAGCGUUGUCCGGAAUUACUGGGCGUAAAGGGCUCGUAGGUGGUUUGUCGCGUCGUCUGUGAAAUUCCGGGGCUUAACUCCGGGCGUGCAGGCGAUACGGGCAUAACUUGAGUACUGUAGGGGUAACUGGAAUUCCUGGUGUAGCGGUGAAAUGCGCAGAUAUCAGGAGGAACACCGAUGGCGAAGGCAGGUUACUGGGCAGUUACUGACGCUGAGGAGCGAAAGCAUGGGUAGCGAACAGGAUUAGAUACCCUGGUAGUCCAUGCCGUAAACGGUGGGCGCUAGGUGUGAGGGUCUUUUCACGACUUUCGUGCCGUAGCUAACGCAUUAAGCGCCCCGCCUGGGGAGUACGGCCGCAAGGCUAAAACUCAAAGGAAUUGACGGGGGCCCGCACAAG